rnacentral:rRNA from 1 species
AGAGUGAACGCUGGCGGCAGGCCUAACACAUGCAAGUCGAACGGCAGCACAGCAGAGCUUGCUCUGUGGGUGGCGAGUGGCGGACGGGUGAGGAUAACGUCGGAAUCUGCCUAUUUGUGGGGGAUAACGUAGGGAAACUUACGCUAAUACCGCAUACGACCUACGGGUGAAAGCGGAGGACCUUCGGGCUUCGCGCAGAUAGAUGAGCCGACGUCGGAUUAGCUAGUUGGCGGGGUAAAGGCCCACCAAGGCGACGAUCCGUAGCUGGUCUGAGAGGAUGAUCAGCCACACUGGAACUGAGACACGGUCCAGACUCCUACGGGAGGCAGCAGUGGGAAUAUGGACAAGUGGGCGCAAGCCUGAUCCAGCCAUGCCGCGUGUGAGAAGAAGGCCUUGGGUACGUAAGCUACGUUUGUAACGGAAGAAAGACGCGAUUAC